AGCGAACGCUGGCGGCAUGCCUAACACAUGCAAGUCGCACGGGGGGGCUUCGGCCUCCCAGUGGCGGACGGGUGAGGAACGCGUAGGGACCUGUCGAGGGGUGGGGGAUAACCGCGGGAAACUGCGGCUAAUACCGCAUGACGCCGCGGCGUGACAGCCGGGGCCAAAGGCGAAAGCCGCCCGCCGAGGGGCCUGCGUCCGAUUAGCUGGUUGGCGGGGUAGCGGCCCACCAAGGCGUCGAUCGGUAGCUGGUCUGAGAGGGUGAUCAGCCACACCGGGACUGAGACACGGCCCGGACUCCUACGGGAGGCAGCAGUGGGGAAUAUUGGACAAUGGGCGCAAGCCUGAUCCAGCAAUGCCGCGUGGGUGAAGAAGGUCUUCGGAUUGUAAAGCCCUUUCGGCGGGGACGAUGGUGACGGUACCCGCAGAAGAAGCCCCGGCUAACUUCGU
rnacentral:rRNA from 1 species